AAGACUAUAGACCUGCGGAGUACCUGCGGAAGGAUCAUUACAGAGUUACUACUCCAAACCCAUUGUGAACCUUACCUAUGUUCUGUUGCCUCGGCGGCGCGGUCAGCGCCCCUCUGAAAAGAGGACGAUGCCCUCCCGCCGGCAGCACCAAACUCUUGAAUUUUACAGCGGAUUUACAGUUCUGAUUUAAAAACAAAAAAAACAAGUUAAAACUUUCAACAACGGAUCUCUAGAUCGGAA
rnacentral:misc_RNA from 1 species